AGGGAGUCUUUAUUCGAAAAAUAAAAACAAAUAAACAAUAAACAUGAUUAGCAAGUAAAAUUCGCUGAUGCAAAAACAAUAAACAUAGUUAACGGUAAUUACUUUACACUAAUUCUGACUUUGAACUCACAUUUACAUAAAUAUUAUUGGCAAAAAUUUUUUAACAAACGAUAAACUUUAGCACCAUUUUAAGUAUCUUUUCAACAAUAUUACCAAAUUCGAAUCCUAUAUUCUUAUUUAUAUUUGUUAUUGAUUACAGCUGCAUACACGUUGUUGGUGUUAUCUACGUCCUCUUUAAAGUUGAUCGCAUUCUCAAGUCUUUGUUGUAUACGUAGGCUUUCUAAUGUCAUUCUCCUUUUUACCCCUCUUUCGGUGUCCAAAAUUCUCGUAUUCCCGAAGUCCGCAAAGUGUUCGUGCUUCGUCAAGUGUUGUGCCAGUGCUGUUGUCAUCUUUUGUUUCUCUCAUCCGCUUUAUGUUCGCUUAUUCUUGUACCCAAUGAUCUUUUUGUUGUGCCUACGUAGCAUUUGUUACAGCUUUCGGUAUCAUUUCCCUUACAUUCUAUUUGAUACACCACAUUAUGUUGUUGUUCCUUCAGAAUUCUGUCUUUUGUUUUAGUGUACAGUUUGCUUAUUAUGUUGUGCGGUCUGUGAGCAUAUGUAAUAUCUUCAUUCUUUAUAGUUCUCCUGAGCGCCUGGUUAUUUGUUAGUCCUGGUACGUAAGUUACUCCAAUGUACUUUUUAUUUUUAAUUGUGUUGUUAGCCUGAAGAUCUUUAUUUUGAUUUGUUUGUUUACUUUUGUUUAUCGUCGUUUCUAUUAAAUUGUUAACUAGCGCAUGCGGGUAGCCGUUUUUGUGCAGAAUGCUUUUAAUUUUAUUUUUGUUCUCCUCAUACUAAAAGUAUUGAAUGCACAAAACACAAAAAUUAAAUUUACGGUUGAAAGAGAGAAAGACAAUAAAAUUGCCUUCCUAGACAUAGAGGUGCAUAGAAAACGGAAUACAAUAUUGCUAAACUGGCAUGCGAAAUCCAUCGCGUCGGGUAGACUUAUUAAUUUCCAUUCAAAUCACCCAUGGAAUCAGAAAAUAAACACCGCUGCUAGCCUGAUCAAAAAGGUGUACAUACUAAGCAACAACGAGUUCGCGGAGGAGAACUUACAUCCUGGAAUGGACCAGAUAAGUAUAUCUGGAGAUCAUCUGCAUAUGUAUGAGCAUUUACAUAUCGGAAAGUCAAUAAAAUAUUGACGAAAGCGCUAAAUAGCAACGGACCCAAAGUGGACCCUGGGGAACGCCACAGAUCACAGACUUUGUCUGUGAGGAUACUGAGCCAAUCUUCACACGCUGGGUUCUGCCUGAUAAAUAACUUUUCAUGAGGGACAGUGCAUUUUUGCCAAAGCCGAAGUAGUAAGUGAGCUUUGAGCAGAGCAAUGUAUUAUCAACGGAGUCAAAUGCUUAGGAGAAGUCUAGCAUUAGAUUUGAUUUUCAGUAUACAUCUAGCCACAUCACAUUCUGUUACGGUUGAAAAUUCAAACGGUACGCCCAGGUAUGAAGCGGAAGUUCACGGAACAAAUUGAGACAAGCCACCAUUAGACAUAGCACUAGAAACAAACACAUCAUUCAGACUAUCAACAUUCAACAUACAUUCAGUUUUUUCAUUAGCUUGUAUUCGAAGGUUUUUAAUAGGGUGACACCGAGGGAAGAGAGGAAUCUAGCUUGGCUGAUAAGAAUCUUUGCUUUUCAGCUCUAACAAUUGCAGUGGCUUUAUUUCUUGCCACGCGAAAAGAGUCCCAGUUAGCUUUUGAGCGAUUUUGCUUCCAAAGGCGAUAAGCUUUUGUUCGCGCUUUUAUAGCUUCCCUGACUUUGGUGUUAAACCAAGGACAAGGUGAUGCUUUACCAUAACGCAGCGGAACAGCCAAAAUACCAACAUUCAUUCCAAACAACAUUUUCUAGCUCCAAACGCAGUGCAUUUAGGUUGAUUGAGCGAAAGUCUCUGAAGGUAUACACUUUUCCACUGCAAGAAUCACUAAAGUGAAUGUCAAAAGAGCAAAAAGUUAAAUCAUGAAAUUUGGUCAAAUUUUAACACAGAGGAAUGAUCGGACACGACAAAAUAAUCAAGAAGACUAGGAUUACAAUUAUUACAGAAUCUAGUAGGUGUUGAAGAAUUAACGAUGGAGAGACCAAGAUUUGAGACAUCAUCUGAGAAGGAGGAACAUAUUUUAUCACGGACAAGAAUAUUGUUAUUAAAAUCACCACAGAGUAUAACAUUAUCAUAGUCAAUAAGCAUCGUGGACAGUUUCUCAAAUAAAGGACUUGUACAAGAGGAUCUAUUAGGAUUAUACACACAAGAGGCAAGAACUUUUUUUAGGCGAUCGGUCAAUUCAACAAAUAAAAACUCAAUUUCCUCAGUACUUGAUUCGCAAACAAGCUUCAUGUUUAUGUGGUUCUUGCAGUAAAUUGCAACACCGCCACCUCUUUUGCCAAUUCGAUCAUUUCGCAUAAGCUUAUAAUUUCUUAUGCUAAAGUGGACAUCACUAACAUCCUUAGGGAACCAAGUUUCUGACAC